rnacentral:rRNA from 1 species
ACCCGCUGAACUUAAGCAUAUCAAUAAGCGGAGGAAAAGAAACUAACAAGGAUUCCCCUAGUAACUGCGAGUGAAGCGGGAAAAGCUCAAAUUUAAAAUCUGGUGGCCUUUGGUCAUCCGAGUUGUAAUUUAGAGAAGCGUCUUCCGCGCUGAACCGUGCACAAGUCUCCUGGAAUGGAGCGUCAUAGAGGGUGAGAAUCCCGUCUUUGGCACGGAACAUCAGGGCUUCUGUGAUGCGCUCUCGACGAGUCGAGUUGUUUGGGAAUGCAGCUCAAAAUGGGUGGUGAACUCCAUCUAAAGCUAAAUAUUGGCGAGAGACCGAUAGCGAACAAGUACCGUGAGGGAAAGAUGAAAAGCACUUUGGAAAGAGAGUGAAACAGUACGUGAAAUUGUUGAAAGGGAAACGCUUGAAGUCAGUCGCGUCGACCGAGACUCAGCCUUGCCUUGGCUUGGUGUACUUCUCGGCUGACGGGUCAGCAUCAAUUUUGAUCCUCGGAUAAUGGCAAGGGAAAGGUAGCACCUUUUUAGGUGUGUUAUAGUCCUUUGUCGCAUAYGGGGGUUGGGAUUGA